rnacentral:tRNA from 1 species
GCCGAAAUAGAUCAGUUGAGAGAGCGUUAGACAAGAUCUAAAGGUCCCUGGUUCGAUCCCGGGUUUCGGCA